rnacentral:rRNA from 1 species
ACGAACGCUGGUCGCAUGCUUAACACAUGCAAGUCGAACGAUCUUGCGGCUUCGGCUGUGAGGGAGUGGCCCACGGGUGAGUAGCGCGUGGGAACCUGCCCUGGAGUGGGGGAUAACCCGGCGAAAGCCGGGCUAAUACCGCAUACGUCCUGAGGGAGAAAGAUUUAUCGCUCUAGGAGGGGCCCGCGUCGGAUUAGCUAGUUGGUGAGGUAACGGCUCACCAAGGCGACGAUCCGUAGCUGGUCUGAGAGGAUGAUCAGCCACACUGGGACUGAGACACGGCCCAGACUCCUACGGGAGGCAGCAGUGGG